UACAGAGGUCUCAAGCGUUGUUCGGAUUCAUUGGGCGUAAAGGGUGCGUAGGUGGUUGUUUAAGUCUGUUGUGAAAGCCCCGGGCUCAACCUGGGAAUGGCAAUGGAUACUGGACAGCUAGAGUGCGGUAGAGGGUAGUGGAAUUCCCGGUGUAGCAGUGAAAUGCGUAGAUAUCGGGAGGAACACCAGUGGCGAAGGCGACUACCUGGCCUGUUCUUGACGCUGAGGCGCGAAAGCUAGGGGAGCAAACGGG
rnacentral:rRNA from 1 species